rnacentral:lncRNA from 1 species
ACGCUGAGACAAUGGGCUCCUGGAUGCACAGUGUGGCCACUGGACAGUCUCUUUGGAUACAGCUAUCGAGGAAAAACAUCAGGGAGUGAGCAUGGCCAUUUCAUCUCCGCCCCCAGUGGAAAGCAGUCCAGCAGCAGGAUGCAGGGUGUCUUAGUGGAGUCCCUCAUUACUCUGCCCCUUGCUCAGGCAUAAAUCAUUCUCUAAUUACAGAUCAGGCAUAAAUCGUUCUGGAACCAUGGUGCUCACUAAAUGUUAUUGUGUUAUUGAGACAUAAAUCCUAUGUCAGCUCGAUGAAAUGUCUGCGGCCAUUGGGUUAAACAAGUCAAGGCAGCUACUUAAUGAUCUCCAAACACUCGAUUAUUAAAGUUCAGAGAAUGUUCCAGUGGAAAACAUGUUAAAGUGGACUUUAAACAACUGUUUCUCACAUUUGUUUGAAAUGAAUGAGGUAACAUGUAGCCUAUUUUCUACUAGUGAGCAACUCACAUCCAUGAUGAAGCCAACACUGUUAUCAGAAAAGAGACAAAAAGAAAUUAAAUCCUUGAUCAUAUUAUUGAGCUGGAUGAGCCAGUCCUGACACACACUUCCAAGCAUGUAAGUCAAAAAAAUGUAGUUACUCUUGUAGCCAGUUUGAUUUGGGUUUUCUGUUCUUUGCAUCUGAAAGCAUCUUAAGUGUUUCACUUGCCUAAAGCUUUAUUGAAAUGAAAAAAUAGAAUGUCCUUUUUUUUC